AUUAGCAGGGAGCUCCCAUUCCUAAAGUAGGGAAGGGCUGGUGGGACCCAGGUACCUGGCACUAGCAUCAUUGUUUUGGUCUCAGGUGAGGCCUGGGAGGAAAUUCUGUUUAGGCUGUGUGGCUACAAGGUUCCAUAGGGCAUCUCUCUGGGGAACAGUAGUUCUGGCCAGGCCGGGAAAUAGGAGUGGUACCCCUCAUUUUCCUGAGAAACUAGUGAAAGAGCUACGUGUCCACUACUGGAUUUCCCAACUUCAAUCCCAGUGGACAGGUAGAGCCUGCAACUCAGGCUAGCUGCUCUUUGGCUGAUCCAACUGGGAGAGAUCAGUGUACCCACAAGGGUGACAGUUCUGGAAAUGUCUAUCCUGUGACAGCAUAAUCCUAAGGACAAGGACUGCA
rnacentral:lncRNA from 1 species